AUUGAACGCUGGCGGCAGGCCUAACACAUGCAAGUCGAGCGAGCGGCGGACGGGUGAGUAAUGUAUGGGAAACUGCCUGAUGGAGGGGGAUAACUACUGGAAACGGUAGCUAAUACCGCAUACCAUCAGAUGUGCCCAGAUGGGAUUAGCUAGUAGGUGGGGUAACGGCUCACCUAGGCGACGAUCCCUAGCUGGUCUGGGAGGAUGACCAGCCACACUGGAACUGAGACACGGUCCAGUCUCCUCCGGGAGGCGGCAGUGAGGAAUAUUGCACGAUGGGCGCAAGCCUGAUGCAGCCAUGCCGCGUGUGUGAAGAAGGCCUUCGGGUUGUAGAGCACUGUCAGCGGGGAGGCGUUACCCGCAGAAGAAGCACCGGCUAACUCCGUGCCAGCAGCCGCGGUAAUAC
rnacentral:rRNA from 1 species